rnacentral:rRNA from 1 species
AGAGUUUGAUCAUGGCUCAGGAUGAACGCUGGCGGCGUGCCUAACACAUGCAAGUCGAGCGGAGUUUUUAAGAAGCUUGCUUUUUAAAAACUUAGCGGCGGACGGGUGAGUAACGCGUGGGUAACCUGCCCUAUACACAGGGAUAACAUUGAGAAAUUGAUGCUAAUACCUGAUAAGCYAACGGCUAGGCAUCUAGUAGUURGAAAAACUGAGGUGGUAUAGGAGGGGCCCGCGUCUGAUUAGCUAGUUGGUGGGGUAAAGGCCUACCAAGGCGACGAUCAGUAGCCGACCUGAGAGGGUGAUCGGCCACAUUGGAACUGAGACACGGUCCAAACUCCUACGGGAGGCAGCAGUGGGGAAUAUUGCACAAUGGGGGGAACCCUGAUGCAGCAACGCCGCGUGAAGGAAGAAGUAUUUCGGUAUGUAAACUUCUAUCGACAGGGAAGAAAUAAAUGACGGUACCUGAAUAAGAAGCACCGGCUAAAUACGUGCCAGCAGCCGCGGUAAUACGUAUGGUGCAAGCGUUAUCCGGAUUUACUGGGUGUAAAGGGUGAGUAGGCGGUUAUGCAAGUCAUAUGUGAAAUUCUGGAGCUCAACUCCAGCGCUGCAUAAGAAACUGUGUAACUAGAGUACAGGAGAGGUAAGCGGAAUUCCUAGUGUAGCGGUGAAAUGCGUAGAUAUUAGGAAGAACACCGGUGGCGAAGGCGGCUUACUGGACUGAAACUGACGCUGAGUCACGAAAGCGUGGGGAGCGAACAGGAUUAGAUACCCUGGUAGU